rnacentral:misc_RNA from 1 species
GAAAUGCGAUAAGUAAUGUGAAUUGCAGAAUUCAGUGAAUCAUCGAAUCUUUGAACGCACAUUGCGCUCGCCAGUAUUCUGGCGAGCAUGCCUGUUCGAGCGUCAUUUCAACCAUCAAGCUCUGCUUGCGUUGGGGAUCCGCGGCUGCCCGCGGUCCCUCAAAAACAGUGGCGGGCUCGCUAGUCACACCGAGCGUAGUAACUCUACAUCGCUAUGGUCGUGCGGCGGGUUCUUUCCGUAAAACCCCCAAUUUCUAAGGUUGACCUCGGAUCAGGUAGGAAUACCCGCUGAACUUAAGC